GACAUUCCGAUGGCCUAGUGGUUAGAGCGUCCGCAUCGGGUGCAGGAGAUCAUGAGUUCGAUCCUCGGUUGAGUCA